AUUGAACGCUGGCGGCAGGCCUAACACAUGCAAGUCGAGCGACCGGCGGACGGGUGAGUAAUGUAUGGGGACUGCCCGUUAGAGGGGGAGAACUGCUGGAAGCGGUAACUACUCAUGCAUCCUAUCGGAUAACCCAUAUGGGAGUAGCUAGUAGGUGAGGUAAAGGCGCACCUAGGCGACGAUCCCUAGCUGGUCUGAGAGGAUGAUCAGCCACACUGGAACUGAGACACGGCCCAGACUCCUACGGAGGCAGCAGUGGGGAAUAUUGCACAAUGGGCGAAAGCCUGAUGCAGCCAUGCCGCGUGUGUGAAGAAGGCCCUCGGGUUGUAAAGCACUUUAAGUCGGGAGGCGUUACCGACAGAAGAAGCACCGGCUAACUCCGUGCCAGCAGCCGCGGUAAUUC
rnacentral:rRNA from 1 species